ACUCCUGCGGGAGGCAGCAGUGGGGAAUUUUGGACAAUGGGCGAAAGCCUGAUCCAGCAAUGCCGCGUGAGUGAAGAAGGCCUUCGGGUUGUAAAGCUCUUUUGUCAGGGAAGAAACGGUGAGAGCUAAUAUCUCUUGCUAAUGACGGUACCUGAAGAAUAAGCACCGGCUAACUACGUGCCAGCAGCCGCGGUAAUACGUAGGGUGCAAGCGUUAAUCGGAAUUACUGGGCGUAAAGCGUGCGCAGGCGGUUUUGUAAGUCUGAUGUGAAAUCCCCGGGCUCAACCUGGGAAUUGCAUUGGAGACUGCAAGGCUAGAAUCUGGCAGAGGGGGGUAGAAUUCCACGUGGAGCAGUGAAAUGCGUAGAUAUGUGGAGGAACACCGAUGGCGAAGGCAGCCCCCUGGGUCAAGAUUGACGCUCAUGCACGAAAGCGUGGGGAGCAAACAGGAUUAGAAACCCGGGUAGUCCC
rnacentral:rRNA from 1 species